UGAGAGGCCCAAGAGGUGGAAUGAUCUUCUUCAAGAAAGAUCCGGUUCUUGGGGUUGAUCUAGAAUCUGCCAUCAACAAUGCUGUUUUUCCAGGUUUACAGGGUGGUCCCCAUAACCACACUAUUGGGGGCCUUGCAGUUUGCUUGAAGUAUGCACAGUCCCCAGAAUUUAAGGCUUACCAGAAUAAGGUGGUCUCUAAUUGUAGGGCUCUUGCAA